UAACAUUUAGUUUAAAUUAAAAACAAAGAUCUGUGGAGUCUUAAUUAUCAGUGAUAAUGUUAU
rnacentral:tRNA from 1 species